CCCCGGGUGGCCCCCCCAGGGGACUCGGGCCCCGGGGACCCCUUCCCGGGGCUCUCGGCCUAAGACGGGCCGGAGGGCCCUCCGCCGGCGCCGGGGACUCCGCUCCGCAGAGGGGACAGCGCCUCAGAGCAGAAAAUACAGAAUUACAAGUCUCAGUGCCGGCUCCACGCCCAGAGCGAGUGCUGAGAAGCCGACUGGGAGCACCUGCCGCCAGUUGUUCCCGAGUGGGGCCUGCUCUGGGCCAGGAGGGCCUCAGGACACCCACCCACAUCCUCGCCCCUGGAAGCCUCUUGCCGAAGCUCCUCAGUUCAGAUUCCGAUGGCACCUGCGCCCACUAGCUGCCCCCCUGCCCCCAGCACAGGACGCAGGGGGCCAGGCUGGAUCCACCCGACCGCAGGACGUCUGUGAGAAGUGGCCGUGGCCCUUCGCACCGGUUAAGGUCGGUCCUGACGACCUGUGACCUUGUCCAGGACCGUCCUCCGCACAGUUACCGCGAUGCACCCCACGCCGUCAGCGAGAGCGGGAAGGGCUGUCACACGGGACGGGCUCCUCGGUGCUGAGACAGAUCCAUCGUGAGGAUUGACAGAAUGAACUCGAGGAGCCAACAACGCGGGGAGGAUCCCCGCACAGGUCCCCUGGCCGCCGGUCCCCUCACCU